UUGGAGGGCAAGUCUGGUGCCAGCAGCCGCGGUAAUUCCAGCUCCAAUAGCGUAUAUUAAAGUUGUUGCAGUUAAAGAGCUCGUAGUUGAAUUUCGGGAUCAGAGUGUCGGUCGUGCCUCGGUACGCACUGGUAUUAUUGGUUCCUACCUUCUGAAGAACCGCGAUGUCAUUAAUUUGGUGUCGUGGGGAAUCAGGACUGUUACUUUGAAAAAAUUAGAGUGUUUAAAGCAGGCUUACGCUUGAAUACAUUAGCAUGGAAUAAUGAAAUAGGACGUUUGAUUCUAUUUUGUUGGUUUCUAGGAUUGACGUAAUGAUUAAUAGGGAUAGUUGGGGGCAUUAGUAUUCAUUGUCAGAGGUGAAAUUCUUGGAUUUAUUGAAGACUAACUACUGCGAAAGCAUUUGCCAAGGAUGUUUUCAUUAAUCAAGAACGAAAGUUAGGGGAUCGAAGACGAUCAGAUACCGUCGUAGUCUUAACCAUAAACUAUGCCGACUAGGAAUCAGACGAUGUUAAUUUUUUAAUGACUCGUUUGGCACCUUACGGGAAACCAAAGUGUUUGGGUUC
rnacentral:rRNA from 1 species